UCCGAAGGGGGCUAUCGUUGUUCGGAAUCACUGGGCGUAAAGCGCACGCAGGCGGAUCGAUAAGUCGGGGGUGAAAGCCCGGGGCUCAACCUCGGAAUUGCCUUCGAUACUGUCGGUCUCGAGUCCGGGAGAGGUGAGUGGAAUUCCUAGUGUAGAGGUGAAAUUCGUAGAUAUUAGGAAGAACACCAGUGGCGAAGGCGGCUCACUGGCCCGGUACUGACGCUCAGGUGCGAAAGCGUGGGGAGAAAACAGG
rnacentral:rRNA from 1 species